CCUACGGGUGGCAGCAGUGGGGGAUAUUGCACAAUGGGGGGAACCCUGAUGCAGCGACGCCGCGUGGGUGAAGAAGCGCCUCGGCGCGUACAGCCCUGUCAGCAGGGAAGAAAAUGACGGUACCUGAAGAAGAAGCCCCGGAGAAUUACGUGCCAGCAGCCGCGGUAAUACGUAGGGGGCAAGCGUUAUCCGGAUGUACUGGGUGUAAAGGGGGCGGAGACGGCGAUGCAAGCCAGGAGUGAAAGCCCGGGGCUCAACACCGGGAUUGCUCUUGGAGCUGCGUGGCUGGAGUGCAGGAGGGGCAGGCGGAAUUCCGGGUGUAGCGGUGAAAUGCGUAGAUAUCAGGAGGAACACCGGUGGCGAAGGCGGCCUGCUGGACUGCAACUGACGUUGAGGCCCGAAAGCGUGGGGAGCAAACAGGAUUAGAUACCCGGGUAGUC
rnacentral:rRNA from 1 species